rnacentral:lncRNA from 1 species
AGUCUUCCACUAGCAGCCUUUGGAUGAAGACGUAGAACUUUCAGCUCUGCUUGCUCUGUGCCUGCCUGGAUGCUGUCAUGCUCCCACCUUGGUGACAAUGGACUUAAUCUCUGAAUCUGCCCCGAACACUUGAAUAUGCUCCAAUUCUGAUUAACAGUCAGCUCAAGAAAGAACUUUGCUCUGCUUUGAUUUUCCCUUUUAAGGAGAGAUUUUUAUUAUUCAUACCCAGCCAACUAGGAGGGAGAAAAGAAUAAAGGAGAAGAUGAUUAGGUUGAUGGCAGUCUCCAUGAUAAUAAUUAUAACAAUCCACUUAACACUGGGACUGCACCUCCAGUCUUCAAAGCUGCCUCCGAUAUUAUCUAAUUAAGGAAAGUGAGGAGGACGAUGACGAGAGUGAGAUUUAAUCUCUGAAGCAUGAGGGGGCCUUUAAAUAACGAGGAGAUGCAGACAACAGACGGGCAGUAACAAGGGCCACUAAGUGAGAAACUGCAGGGUCAGAUAUAUCUUAAUUUCAUGGAGGUUUUCAGGGCUGGACUGAAAAGACAGAAAAGCAAGGCAAAAGAAAGAAGACAAAGGGGAACUGCUGGAAAAUAACAAAACUGUGAUCCUGCCCCCUCCCCCCGCACCCAGAAUCUCACAUCAUCAAACCACUCAAGCAUGCUGCCUAACUGUCAGAGUAUACCUGCAUUCCUGUGACUGCAGGACCCAGUGAAACAGCAACAGCUCAAAGCACUGGGCCUGCUGCUAAUGAACCUGACAGCAGUUAUCUCUGUAACAGAGGAAAGGCAUCAAGCAUUGAAUCGCAGACCUUACAGGGAACAGGGGCACAGGAGAGGCUCUGAAAGACAGACCCUCACAUCCUGAAUGAAAGCUAUUCCUUAGCAGUGAAACCAAUAAAACUAACAAUGCAGAUUUCAGCCUCUGUGGUUCCCAACUGAUCCAGUCUCUAUUAAUCCUGGUCUUGGUACAUUUGUUCACUCUAUUGCUUGCCCCAAAUAGCCUCAUUCUCAAAACAUACAGUACUUAUUCCAGUUCAGCAUGAUCAGUGAU